rnacentral:rRNA from 1 species
UACGUAGGGGGCAAGCGUUGUCCGGAUUUAUUGGGCGUAAAGAGCGUGUAGGCGGCCGCACAGGUCCGUUGUGAAAACUGGAGGCUUAACCUUCAGACGUCGAUGGAAACCGUGCGGCUAGAGUCCGGAAGAGGAGAAUGGAAUUCCCGGUGUAGCGGUGAAAUGCGCAGAUAUCAGGAAGAACACCCGUGGCUAAGGCGGUUCUCUAGUACGGUACUGACGCUGAGACGCGAAAGCGUGGGGAGCGAACAGG